ensembl:lncRNA
AUAAAAAAAAGCAUAUUUCUGUCUUAUGAGUAGAUUUUAAAUAGAUUUUAAGCCUACACAUGUUUUACUUUUUCAGCAUGUGGACACAAACUCCCCCAAACUGAUGAACACUAUCUUUAUUGGAGCACUUUGUGCUGUGAUGACCACUCAAUUCUGUUGUCCCCUUGUUAAGGCAGGGAGCUACAUCAAAUAAAUAGAUAAAAACGUUCACACAUUUAAACACAAACACACACAUACAUACAAUUAAUUUAGUUAGUUAGUUGAAAAUAAAAUCAUAUUCACUGUCUAUGUAGAUUCUGUGUCAUAGCUCUAUUCACAAACUAGUAUGCCUAAUUGCUAGCAAUUAAUCACUAUGUUUUGGACAUUAAAACAUGUUACAGAUUACAGCAUAUAAAAGCAGAAAAUUAAAAACCCAAAAAUGACAAAAAAUCUAAGCAUUGUGUAAGCAUACAUAAGAAGACAUAAGGCAAAUAAAAGCAAAAAGUCCAGAUUUUAGAAAAAGGUUUUCUCUAACUGUCUACUACAUACAAUCAAUUGCAUACAUUUAUUGCUCACACUGUGCCUGCACAGAAACAGUUGUCGAGAGGGGGAGCAAAUGUCAUCACAGAUAACCCAAGUCUAUCGGACGACUCUCUUUCCAUUCACUACUGAACUACCCAGCCUUCAAUGGACAUGGGAAACAAGUGUUAGGUCUGGUCCGUUAAAACAGCUUCUAAUUCUUGUGAUGGACACAUACACCAGUACAGUACCCCUUAAGAGUCACUAAGAAAUACUUACUGACCAGCACAGAGCUAGGACUUAAAAGUAAAAAAAAUUGCCAGGAAGAAACAACACCAUCAAAAGAAAAAAAUAUAUACUUUGAAAUAUGUAUAAAUCACAUGCCUACAUAUGAUAAGACAAAAAAUAUUGUUUACGCUUACAAGAUAAUUCUAACAUGGUCACCAACCUAUGCCACAAAACAUUAGUUUGGUAUGGAAAAAAAGGGGGUGAAAAGAUAGCAUGAUGGGUAUAAAGUUGUACUAUCUGAUAGAUGAUAAAGAUCUCCCAGCCUCAAGUGGAGAAAGAAAUAAUUACAUAACAGUACUUAUUGUACAGAGUUAUUUACGUAGCAUAAAGCUACUCCUGACAUUAUGAUACAGCAACAGUGCAAUUACAUUGUCCGUUUAAUAGAAAAGCAUUCUCUGAUACUCCUAAUUUAUUCAAAGCAAUUACCAUUGAGGAGCAUUUUUAUGGCCUCUGUCCAAGGGAAAAGCAAUAAUCGAACAAACAAAGGAACAAAACAAAUUAAAUAGUUAGCAAACACAAAAUAAAUAUAAUGCAAUUGGUGUAUAUUUGACCAGUAAUGGUGCUGCUCUGUGGUCUAAUGUUAAUGUGUGGUAGAGCCUGAAAUACACUUCUGCUUGUAUGCAGAGGCGCACUCCCAGAAUUUAACAUCACCUUGCUUAUGUCUGGGAGGUUAAUCUCAACCAAUCGGGAUUUGAUCAAGCAGGGAACAGGUGUAGUGUUAUUUUUUGACAGCCAGAAUAAAUGAAGGCACCUGGUGAAUUCAGAGGACUGUAAUAUCAGUUGGUUGCGAUACAACUACAGCUCUCCAGCAGUACAUUUGAUUUGGUUACUAGGAGUUUAUAACAGUUCAUUGCCCUCAUGAUCCACACAGUCCUCAGCCUGCUCAAUAUGGAGGUAGAUUUGUGUCUUUAUUAUGCAAUCAAAAAUAACAGGUUUGAGAGCAAAACUUUCCACACUGCAAUCAAAAAAUAGAUUUCAGAGCAUAACUAUCGACACUGCAAUCAAAAUUUUUUAUUGCAAGAUAAAUUAAUGUGAUAAAAAUUGUAUUAAUGGGAAUCCAAAAGUUUUGUUUGCAAAUCCAAAAGUUUUGAUUGCAAAUCCAAAAGUUUUGUUUGCGAAUCCAAAAGUUUUGUUUGCGAAUCAAAAAGUUUUGCUUGCGAAUCCAAAAGCUUUGCUUGCGAAUCCAAAAGCUUUGCUUGCUGUUGAGCUGAAUCUCGUGGGCGGGACCUACGCCGAAAGAUGUAAGACACGUCUCUAUUGGCCAGUCUCGAUCGGAGUGACAGCUUGGCAACAUCCACAGUUAGUAACGAGAGAGGGAGUUUUGAAGUCCAUGAUGAGACAGAGCGGGAAUCGGGAGCUCCCUUUCUCGUUACUAACUGUGGAUGUUGCCAAGCUAUCACUCCGAUCGAGACUGGCAAAUAGAGACGUGUCUUACAUCUUUCGGCGUAGGUCCCGCCCAUGAGAUUCAGCUCAACAGCAAGCAAAGCUUUUGGAUUCGCAAGCAAAGCUUUUGGAUUCGCAAGCAAAACUUUUGGAUUCGCAAGCAAAACUUUUUGAUUCGCAAACAAAACUUUUGGAUUCGCAAACAAAACUUUUGGAUUUGCAAACAAAACUUUUGGAUUUGCAAACAAAACUUUUGGAUUCCCAUUAAUAUUUUUUUUAUCACAUUCAUUUAUCUUGCAAUAAAACAUUUUUUGAUUGCAGUGUGGAAAGUUUUGCUCUCAAACCUAUUUUUUGAUUGCAGUGUGGAAAGUUUUGCUCUCAAACCUAUUAUUUUUGAUUGCAUAAUAAAGACACAAAUCUACCUCCAUAGCUCAACCCCCACUAACAAGUUACUUCAAGCUGAAGCAACUGAUCCCUCCACUGGGAUCCCAGUCAUCCGCAAUGCCCACAUUUGGGUUGAACAACUGCGACCUGAAUGAUUUUGAAGAAUUGUGGGAGAAAUCCAUGUCCUUGAACCCAGCCAACUCCCUCUCCAAGCAAACGGCAUGGAGUAGCGAGUAUAAAUCUGAAAGAUGAUGUGAUCGAAACAAAAGUUAGGGCAAUGAACGGAGUGGAAAAUACAGUUUUUCAGCACACUGGAUCGUGCGAAGGGAGACAUGGCAGCAAGAUUUAAGGAACGAAACAGCCACCUUGUUGCUGUGUGCCUUUAGAUUUAAUUCUGCAGUAGUUUACUGUUGCAUGCCAGUUUCUAAAGAGUGAAAUCGCCUAUCUACAGAUGAAAAAUGGAAUACACAGAAUCUCUUUGAUAGAGACUCCGGUUCACUAGCAUCCAUACCUACAGGAUGAUGGCCUUGUAGCUGGGAUUAGUAUUUAAAGCAUCCAUGGCAAGCUGCGAGAACUCUUCUUCAACAUUGAACAGUAUUCAGUGAGAACAGACGGAGCAUGUUGCACAGGAGGAAAUCACAGCUGAUUCACCUGGCAUUCAAGGAAGGAAGGAGGAACCUUACAAGCAUAUUCCAUGGGGAACGGAAGGAGGGACUGCUGAGGAGGUUCAUCACAUCUUCAAGGUGUCAGGGUCAGAAGAGUCAGCCUGUUUGAGCAUGUAUUGUUUUGUUGCUUUUUGGAAAUGUGUGGAAAAUGUCAGUGACAAGCGUACACAUUAUUUCAUCAUUGGCUUUGCUGCCAAGAAGAGGGUGUGAUUGUGGGAGUGUGUGUGGAUGAUGGCUGGUUUAAGCAGCCUCACCUGGCCGAGUCUGAUUGGACUCUGCGGCUGGGUGAGGCGGCAUGCCUGUUGCAUAAUUUACAUACUUAUAACAUACAUAUUGAGUAAUCAAUGUGGCCAGGUUAAACCAGCAAUCACCACACACCAUUGGGGAGACAUCUCCUGCAUGGCAGUUGAGCACUAUUAUCAUGUUAAUUUACUGCAACCUUUACACUACCCGGAUCUCUAACAUCACCACCCUUUAUCGGGAGGAGCCCAAUAGAAGUCACCCAGGUGGAGUUGGGGAGCAAUUGGCUAUGCUACAGUGAUGUCAACGUUGUUUCAUUCGGUAGAAUUGGUGCUUGUUUUGCAUUACAUCAAUGAGGGUGGGCAGGCUGACCAGUGUCUGCUGUGGUCAUACGCAGCGUAUUACGGCACUAGUGUGGCGAGACAGCCCAUAUUCUUGUUGCUAGACAGAUUCAUAAGACUGAGGGGGACAGUUGUGCCCUCUGUCAUUUCUGAUGCCCCCUUGUCUGGUCAAUCCUGCCGCCUGGGUCUGAUCUUUUCCCCAACCUUUUGAGAUAAUCCUGAACUUGCGAGUUUAUUCUUCAGUUUCCUGCUAAUUAACUGUCUGACCUCACUCCCAUGAACCAACUUUCAAAACCUAAAAAGCAGAUGGACCAAUCAGCGCUAGGGAGAGAAUGUUUUAGGAACGUCUAUAAGCCUUACGCUGUAAACAACUCUCCUCAGAAUCAAAGAAGGAGUGAAGCUCUGGCUCACUUUGCUAUUGAUGAAUCCAAUCGGAAGAAAAGCAAAAACAUAUAUCCCUCUUUGAAAAGUCUUCAGCGCAAACGUCUUAUUUUACAUUGUUAUUCAGUGAAUUUCAGAUAAAGCAUUUGGAAUUGGUGCACUUAAGUGGUUAUGAGUGCUGUUUGUCGUCUUUCUGGGAUUUGGUAGUUUUAAGGGAGCGAGGCCAAACUGAUCUUCAGCGAGAAACUGAAAAUAUGAACCCGUCCAGGAUGAACCACAAGGUUAUCUUUCGUGUCUUUUAAUAAAAUAAAACCCCGCUAGGCUAGUCCAUGAAGAAUUACUUAGUUUUGUCUGUGUGUGAAGCCUGCUUUCUGAAGCCAUUGUGAUGGGAAUUAUUGCACCCUAUUGACCGGAUAUGAUAAAGCCAAUACCCGAGAUGGGACAAAGUCACUGUUUGGCAAGUCCCAAGUGAGCCCAAGUCUUAGCAGUCAAGUCCGAGUGAAGUCCCAAGUCAAGACAGGGAAAGGCAAGUCGAGUCCAAGUCAAAGUCACACCAAAGUCAAGUCGAGUCCAAGUCCAAGUCCCAAACUUUCCAAAGUCUUGAACAGAUCACCAUGUUUUUUUCUUACUGUCAUUAUUAGGCUAUUGAUAAUACUUUCAACAUAUCACUCUAAUGUACAGUUAAGAGUGAGAUUUUGUUGAGGGGGGGGGGGAUAUUAACAUGUAACUGCAUACAAAGGUGACAUGGUGACUAAUGUAUGAUAGUAAGCAUUAUUGGCCCUUAACACUAAUAUUCAGAAACAACACUGCCGCAAAAGGCUAUUGGCUUAAGCAACACCAGUAGAGACAUAUACUUUUCCCUGAACUUUUGAACGUUGCAAAAGCAUAACUUUUGCAAAAAAGCAUAAAUAUAUAUAACUAUAUAUUUAUGUGGCAUUCAGUCCAAUGCUUAACAUAUAUCUUUGGCAUUCAGUAGGCCAAUGCUGUGGUACAGUGUUGUAUGACCAAGUGUUUCUUUCUGUUCAAUAGAUAGAACUUUAUCAAUCCCCUGUAGGAGAAAUUUGUUAAUGUUUGCCCCUACAAAACAAUAAUGGUAAAGCAAAUAUAUACAAAACAUGACGGUAACUAAGUAAGUCAAACCGUCCAAUCUGAAGGCUCUACUUAACCACUCCCCCUACUCACUUCCACCUAUGCAAAGCGAACAGAACUGAGUAGGGGAGGGCGUAGCCUAACUAGUUUGUUAACGACCCAGAGAAACGCAACGCCAAUUCAAUGUGAACAUGUAUGAGGCUUUAAUAAAAUCCCGGACGAUUCCGCCACACAUUUUCUUUUAAAUGCCUCAAAAAGAGGGCAUGUCCGGGCAAAAGAGGACGUCUGGUUACCCUAUGUACGGGAAAUCCAUUUGAUUCCUACCUGUUCCACUCUUACGCCUCGUGCCCACUACCUCCGUCCGUUGACUGAUCCCCAUUGACUAACGCCUCGUGCCCACUACCUCCGUCCGUUGACUGAUCCCCAUUGACUUUGAAUGGGGACGGACGC